rnacentral:lncRNA from 1 species
GUGGCAGAAGUGAAGCAAAAGAAGCAGACCUUCCCCAAGUCCACCUACUUCAGGUGUGGACCUUGACCAGCUGCUGGACAAGUCCUACAAGCCACUGAUGCAAAUGUAAAGCACCUGGCAGCAACCAUGGCUGAAUUGGGCCUGCAGAGGAAGCAACAUCUCAUGGCUGAAGUGCCUGCACAAGGCCAGAAUGAGGCACCGCCCACAGAGAAGCCUAAGGUUGUGAUGACAUACCUGUGGGACAUGAUCAUCCUAUCCAAGAUGGCAGGUGGCUACAACAGCAAGACAUUCACCCAGGUGGAAAUCAAGCCUGGCAUGAUUAGACACUGUGCAGGCAGGUUCUCAAUGACCUACCAGCCUGUGAAGCCUGAAGCCCCU